GACGUAGGGCGCGAGCGUUGUCCGGAUUUAUUGGGCGUAAAGAGCUCGUAGGCGGCUUGUCGCGUCGACUGUGAAAUCCCGCGGCUCAACUGCGGGUCUGCAGUCGAUACGGGCAGGCUAGAGUUCGGUAGGGGAGACUGGAAUUCCUGGUGUAGCGGUGAAAUGCGCAGAUAUCAGGAGGAACACCGAUGGCGAAGGCAGGUCUCUGGGCCGAUACUGACGCUGAGGAGCGAAAGCGUGGGGAGCGAGCAGG
rnacentral:rRNA from 1 species